GGGUUGUGAGGUUAAGCGACUAAGCGUACACGGUGGAUGCCCUGGCAGUCAGAGGCGAUGAAGGACGUGCUAAUCUGCGAUAAGCGUCGGUAAGGUGAUAUGAACCGUUAUAACCGGCGAUUUCCGAAUGGGGAAACCCAGUGUGUUUCGACACACUAUCAUUAACUGAAUCCAUAGGUUAAUGAGGCGAACCGGGGGAACUGAAACAUCUAAGUACCCCGAGGAAAAGAAAUCAACCGAGAUUCCCCCAGUAGCGGCGAGCGAACGGGGAGGAGCCCAGAGCCUGAAUCAGUGUGUGUGUUAGUGGAAGCGUCUGGAAAGGCGCGCGAUACAGGGUGACAGCCCCGUACACAAAAAUGCACAUGCUGUGAGCUCGAUGAGUAGGGCGGGACACGUGGUAUCCUGUCUGAAUAUGGGGGGACCAUCCUCCAAGGCUAAAUACUCCUGACUGACCGAUAGUGAACCAGUACCGUGAGGGAAAGGCGAAAAGAACCCCGGCGAGGGGAGUGAAAAAGAACCUGAAACCGUGUACGUACAAGCAGUGGGAGCCUCUUUUAUGGGGUGACUGCGUACCUUUUGUAUAAUGGGUCAGCGACUUAUAUUCUGUAGCAAGGUUAACCGAAUAGGGGAGCCGAAGGGAAACCGAGUCUUAACCGGGCGUUAAGUUGCAGGGUAUAGACCCGAAACCCGGUGAUCUAGCCAUGGGCAGGUUGAAGGUUGGGUAACACUAACUGGAGGACCGAACCGACUAAUGUUGAAAAAUUAGCGGAUGACUUGUGGCU
rnacentral:rRNA from 1 species